AGGUACAGCUGGAGGAGGCUCCAUGGAAAGACUUUGGAAAUGUGGAAAGCAGGGAAAUGAAGAGGGACACGUCACUCGUUGCAAGCUGAAAUGCAGAGGGGGUAGUAAGGAGAAGAAAGGAGCAGGGAGGCAGAGAUUUGGAAGCCUCGUCACAGAAGGACUGACCUCAAGAGCAAAGGAAAAAGUUUCCAUCUGAGGCUGUGAGAGAGUUCUCCCUGCUUAUCAAUGUGUUCUACCCUGAUAGUACUUUAAAGUUCAACUCUGCAACAGAUCAGAAGACAUAUUUGAAUGGGCUUAGGAUCUGGUUCCUAUUACAGAUGACCCUGCAGACCUUUUCAGCUAGAAACUUAUUAGUGAAUAUCCAUUUGCCUUCUACAGUUCCACCUAACAGAGGGAAGAGUGCUCAUUUUCUGUGUGUCUGAGAGCAGAGGGAAGUCAAGAUCCUGCAACAACCAUCAUGGCGACUCUUACUCUUUUCCUCCUCUUCAUCCUUUUGCCCUGCAGUAAAUCCCAGGAGGACUUUCUGGACCAGCAUCAGAAAUGGGACUACAGAGAAGGCGCUGACAAGGUCAACAUAGAAGGUAUUAACAGCAUUACUCAAACCCUUGAGAAAUGGGGAAAUGACAUCUUCUGGCAAAUGAAGCAUAACCUGCUGAACAACCCAAAUGCUCUACUGCCUGAGUUCUCCAGUCUCCGCCCUGUCUCUGCGGCUGUGGACAAUCUUGUGAGGGAAGUCCAGUCGAUAAGGAAAAGGCUGGAAGAACUGAAUGAACGCCUCAAUGUCAUCAGCAAAACCAUCCUUCCCCUUCGACUGAAUGCUCUGCAGAGCCAAAGGCGUGGAAAUACUCAGCUGCGGAGACUUCCGAUGCAUAGGAGAAGGUUAUAUGUUCGCAGGAGACCUCAGAGCAGUUAAUUAAUUGUCUACCUGAAAAAAAGGGCAAGUCUUUAAUUUUUUCAUCUGCUUAAGCCUUUCUCAAUGGAAUGCUGUUGGAGAGAAUAAAGCAAAGCACACGCAAGUCAGCUUCUCGAAGGAGACCAGAAUUUCUGCAUUUUGCUGCUGCCUUCCAAACCUAGGUCAGUAGGUGAGACUUGACCCUGUUCUUCAGAGAUGGCUGUUUGUGUCCCAAGCAAAAAGAGUUGACAAGCUCAGUCCACUUGUGCAUGAAUACCUUUAGGCUAUACAGUCAUUCUUUCUGCUUACCAGAGGAAGCUCUUUCUAUAAAGAUCAGGUGAAUUUCUUUCUAUCCUAUUUUUAAAGCACUCCAUCUGAAACAGCUGGGGACUUUGAACUUCAAAAGAGUUGAACAACUGAUGAAUGCAGAAAGAUGGAUUAGUACUUGGCACUUCCAGCUGGGCAGGGAGAGGGAGAGGAAGCUUUGUUUCAAAAUAUAGCCUUAACCUAUUCUCCGUGUUCACAUGUUCAGAGGGUGGGUAGGGUUGGAUAACCUCGGUCUGUGCAUCAUCCUUCAAGACUGAAGAUAUGUUAGUUGCUAGGGACCAAAUUUGAACAUCCGCCUUCUGCAAAAGUGGUUUUUUUAGCUACCUGAAACUGUGCACUCAGAACCAUGUUAUUCAGCAGAUAUGUUCAGAAUUUCCAGCACUCUGAAAGACUUUGAAUUGACUUCUGCCAAGACCCAUGGAACCACAGGAUUUUUUUUUUCAAAACUAUCUAGACAUCAAAUGGCAUAGAUAGGUGUCUAGAAGGAUUUUCCAAAAUAGCUUAAGAGAUUGUUCAAUCCCCAAAAUCACAGAUUUCAAUGUAUCUAACUCACAGAGUAUUUUCUCCACAUGCAAGCACUGACCUCCAGACAUUUCCCAACACCCUUUAGCACAAUUAAGAUCUGUAGAAAAUUAACAACUACGCACCCCAAAGACUUUGGUCCCUCGGGGAUUACCCAGAAUACACUGACUUCAGCUUGUCCUUGCCUGUGGCUUCCUGACAAUAAAGCUGGUGAUAUAAAAGAGUGCAGAAAUCAAAUUAUGCACUGAACAGAGGAUAGAGUGGGCUUGCCCUUCAGGUCUCUGAAGAUAAAACCAAUACAGAGAUUUCCACACAGCAGUCAACUGUGUACGUGAAAUCUGUUGAAACAUAGACAGGAGAGGCAGGGAGGAAAAGAAACUAUUUUUUUUAAGGUCUGGAUGAAGCAAUUUAUGAGAACAGAAAUAAAGAAUGGAUUAUGUCUAAGUGAUUGUGGGGGUGGCUGGCAUGACAGUUGUUUCGCAAACACUAUCCAGUCAUAAGCACUGAGGAUGCAGACAAGCUAUUUAAGGAUUCCCAAAGCCUGAGUUAAUGGAAGGAAAUUCGGUGACAUUACAAUAACCUCCAGAGGGAAAGGGGAAAAAACUAGUUUCAUAUGAAAUCUUUAGAAUGAACCAGAAAAAAUAACACAGUAAGAAUUUUGGCUGCAACCUGGGAGUUAGUUGAGUGGGCAGGUAUGAGGAGUGUAUGAGACAAUCUGAUAAAUAUUUCCCGGAUGUAAAUUCUCCGAGUUCAAGUUCUCAAAAAAUAACAAAACUCUAACUUGGAAACUCUCUCCUUGGCUUUUGCUUGACAAUUUGAAACACAGCUUAGCUAAAGAAGGGAAAAAUCAAGACUGUGAAAAGGCAGAUAAAAGGAUACAAUUGUGCCUUUGUUGAAGUUGUCAUCAUAAUUUCUCAGGAAAUGUACAGUAUUUUGAUCCCAGAAUAUAUUUACAUAAAUUACAAGGAAUAACAGGAGAGAAAGGCUCCUAACUUCUUGUUAUUCUGCACUUAGAGCUACUAGGCUGUGCUGUAGAAUCAGCUGCAUGCUUGCACACACUGCUGGUCCCUCCAGGGGAUGCUUUGUUUGGGACUGUAGGGACUGCUAGUUAUUUUGGCCUAUCUGGAGGAAGAAUACAACAUAAAUGUCAGCUUUCAUGAUAUAUCUUAGACAUGAGCAUUCUAUCAGGCAACCUGAAUUUGUAUAAAAUUAAUUGAGGACUACUUGAAACAGAAAGAUGAGACUUCCCUCAGUCACAGAUGGCUGGAGAUGGGAGGCCAGACCAGAUCACUGUAUGCUUUUACUUUUUACCAUUUUACCACCAGCUUCUGCCAGAGACAAAGGAGUCCAUGUGUUCCUACCUAUAUGUGCAAGUUGGUACUCUUGGCAAAAACUUCUGAGCACAAUGGAGAAACUCACCAUUUGCUUUAAAAGAGAAAAAAUAAGUUGCAGUAUACAAUGUACGUAUACUACAAUUCUGCAAUUUCUUGCAUAAUGGUGAAUAAACAAAAAAAUAUAAAUGGUUAAUAAAUUACCAGGUCUGUGGCCUUGUCACCAUUGAUAGCAGCCCAUCAUUCACUCUGUGAAAGUUCAUGCCAGGCUCCAGCCCAGCUCCCUGACCCGAACACGGCCUGUUCAAUCUGAUGAUCACAGCCAGCUUCUGUAACUUCUUUGCCUUUGCAUGGCCCUCUCUCUUUAGAUGGAAAAGCUUUAAUGUCAUAUUUCUUUUGCAAUUUUCUUUUUUGCUCUUUAAGAGUAUAGGAAAGUUAUGUGUCAGCCUACUUCUGCACCUCUCACCUUCUAUUUGAGUAGGCAGGAGUCCAGCUGAGCAACGAUCUCGAGGUGACUGUCUCAUCUGCCUGGGGAAGCUGGUCUGAUCCAUGGGACUGAUUCCCAGAGACCGGUAUUUGAUUUCUGCCUUUGCUAAGCUCUUCUUAAAAGAUCCUGUGCAAGACACUUUCUCUAGGUAGUACUUGUCCUUUGACAUGGCUUACACAACAAAAACCACUUGUGGUCAUGAAGUGUCUAAGUCUUCUAUGCAUAUAAAUAUAUCCAGCUACAUAAG